rfam:Enterococcus sulfureus ATCC 49903 acyDF-supercont2.3, whole genome shotgun sequence.
AGAGUGUUAUGAUGUUGGAAAGUUCAGACUUUCCGAGUCUAGCUCAGCGCUACCCCCUAGUUUGACUAGGGGGU